rnacentral:rRNA from 1 species
AGCAGUAGCCACGGUAAUACGUAGGGUGCAAGCGUUAAUCGGAAUUACUGGGCGUAAAGCGUGCGCAGGCGGUUAUAUAAGACAGAUGUGAAAUCCCCGGGCUCAACCUGGGAACUGCAUUUGUGACUGUAUAGCUAGAGUACGGCAGAGGGGGAUGGAAUUCCGCGUGUAGCAGUGAAAUGCGUAGAUAUGCGGAGGAACACCGAUGGCGAAGGCAAUCCCCUGGGCCUGUACUGACGCUCAUGCACGAAAGCGUGGGGAGCAAACAGGAUUAGAGACCCGUGUAGUCCCUGUCUCUUAUAC